rnacentral:rRNA from 1 species
UACGAAGGGGGCUAGCGUUGCUCGGAAUCACUGGGCGUAAAGCGCACGUAGGCGGAUUGUUAAGUCAGGGGUGAAAUCCUGGAGCUCAACUCCAGAACUGCCUUUGAUACUGACGGUCUUGAGUCCGGGAAAGGUGAGUGGAACUCCGAGUGUAGAGGUGAAAUUCGUAGAUAUUCGGAAGAACACCAGUGGCGAAGGCGGCUCACUGGCCCGGUACUGACGCUGAGACGCGAAAAGCGUGGGGAGCGAACAGGG